AACGAACGCUGGCGGCGUGCCUAACACAUGCAAGUCGAACGAGAAAGUUUCCUUCGGGAAAUCAGUAAAGUGGCGCAAGGGUGAGUAACACGUGAAUAAUCUGCCUACGAAUUCGGGAUAACUCGGCGAAAGUUGUGCUAAUACCGAAUAAGACCACGUCUCUUAUGUGAUGUGGCCAAAGGAGUCUCAAACUCCGUUUGUAGAUGAGUUCGCGCACCAUUAGCUUGUUGGCGGGAUAACAGCCCACCAAGGCUACGAUGGUUAGCCGACCUGAGAGGGUGAUCGGCCACACUGGAACUGAGACACGGUCCAGACUCCUACGGGAGGCAGCAGUGGGGAAUAUUGCGCAAUGGGCGAAAGCCUGACGGCAGCAACGCCGUGUGAGGGAUG
rnacentral:rRNA from 1 species